UGGUCACAUCAUGUUGAAACACCAGUUCCCGUUUGUUCACUGAAGUUAAGCAACAUUGAGUCUGGUCAGUACCUAGACAGAUGACUGCUUAGGAAUACAAGGUGCUGUAA